rnacentral:rRNA from 1 species
UACGUAGGGACCGAGCGUUGUCCGGAAUCAUUGGGCGUAAAGAGCGUGUAGGCGGCCACUUAAGUCCUGCGUGAAAUCUUGCGGCUCAACCGCAAGCGGUCGUGGGAAACUGGGUGGCUAGAGUGCGGGAGAGGAGAGUGGAAUUCCUGGUGUAGCGGUGGAAUGCGCAGAUAUCAGGAAGAACACCCGUGGCGAAGGCGACUCUCUGGAACGCAACUGACGCUGAGACGCGAAAGCGUGGGGAGCAAACAGG